CACCAUGGAAACAGGAUGGGUUCUUAUUCAAAGAAGCUAGCUCUCACAAAUAUUUUGAAACACCUACUUAAUAAUAUUUUCUCCAAUUCCAUCCCAGGAUAAAGUCCUAGGAAUGGAGUUACUGUGUCAAAGAGGAAAAAUAGUUUGGUCAGCAGAGACUGUGUGAGGAGCCUGGACUUCAACUCCCACCCAGCAGUAAAAUAAAACCAUUCGGGAUCCCUGGGUGGCGCAGCGGUUUGGCGCCUGCCUUUGGCCCAGGGCGCGAUCCUGGAGACCCGGGAUCGAGUCCCACGUCGGGCUCCCGGUGCAU